CGUUGUACAGGUAAUAUCUUCGAGAUAGAAUGUUUCAGACUUUAGUGUGGAAUGAAACGAUUCUAUCGGGGCAUUAUCAGCAG
rnacentral:antisense_RNA from 1 species